CAGCGAUGUGGCAACCGUGUGCAUGACACAAUGUCCCAUUGCAUUUACUCUGCCGAUGUGUUGGCCAUACCCGUGUAAAGGGUCUAAUAAGACAAGAGUUGUAGAAUUAGGAACGACGUGCGCAAUUCCGCCCUGCGUCCUCUCUUGCGUAAUGCGCAACCCACCGCAGAUUACGCAGCCUACAUUGAGGAGAUCCUAAAGUAGACCGAAUCGCUCACAGGUAGCCGCUGCUGCAGUCGUUUUGCAAGAGACAGAAAGAUAGUGAGAGAACACAUCCCGCUGUCAACUCAGUUUACAGAAGUGGGUGUGUUUGCUGUGCAGUGUCUGAAUAAAACCCGUUUGCCAGAUCUCCACAGCAUCCACAACCGCAGCCCCGCGCACACCAAGGUGAGUCACACCCUUCACUCGCUCUUCUUUUUUAUGAAUAUCGCUCACGAAGUUUUAAGUUUGCUUUAAUUAAGGUGAUAGAUAGGCCUCUAUGGCUAUACAAGUCGUUACGUCUUCUGCGAUUGUUUUAGGCUUCAUGUUCAUAUUCAACAGCUGAGAGAUACUUUCGAUGUUUACUAGAAGGUGAGUCAACCCCUUUGAAACCUGCAGGUUACACAGGGACCGGUCUCGUGUGUUUCAGUUAAUUCACAUAUUAUAAUAUGCCACCGCGGCGUCCUAUAUACUCUCUUGAGAACAGAGUUUCUAUUUUAAAGCUCCAACGCUUUUCAUCUUAAAGUUCAUAUCAAUAUUGUGAGAAGAAGUGUGUGUCAUCAGGCUACUGCUUAUUGACGAAAAGGGGCCCAGAGACAGCUUUCACCACCGUUAUCUUCCAUUCCCCUAACUCUCCAUAAAUGUGUAUUAUAGGCUAGUGAUAUGUUUAUUAUGCAUCUAGUGGAAAAGCUCCAUUAGGCCUACACCUGGAAUAGGAUUGGCCUUACUGAUCCAUGUAGACCUAUUUCUAUGUUUUCAAAUGAAUGUAGUACGUCCGUCAUUCAUUGGAAAGACUGUCUAACCCUAACCAACCCUGUAACCCUACCUGACGGCUUGUUCGCCAUCAGAUGAGCGACUCACAGAGUGUCAACAAAAGGGAGAUCAAUGGAGACCUGCCGGCCCCAAACCAGGACGACAUCCCGGCAGAGCUACUCAGUCAGGUAGGUCCACGCGACGUCCCCCUACAUCUGAGGUUGGGGGGGUUAGGGAGGUUCAGGGUGAGGUAGAGUAGCAUCUGGGCUAUGUUUGGCUGAAGUGCAUCGGUGCCGAAAGGGUAAAUCGAUAUUUAGAUACGUCAUUUCUCCACCAUUUUAGAUAAAUAACCACUGUACAACAAUACGAUUCCUGAAUGAAAUGCCCAUAUCUGAUAGAGAAAUCUAGAUGGAUUCACAAGGUGCAACAUAUGCCUAAUGUACACACAAAACAUAUUUAUUUAUUUUGAAAUAAGUCAACGUUUCUUUGAAAUAUUUGGUGGAACUUCAAGAUUGUUAGAAGUCAAGUUAUCCUCAAACGGCUGUUUAAGAAGUCAGGUGGAUUUUAUCUGCUUCAGGGAGGCCCUCAGAGGGGUGGUUGCAGGACAAUAGUGAGCAUUCUGGAUCCCUGAGGUCGUUAUCUUACUACCAUGAGGCCAUAAGGGAGACAGAAUAUGCACAUAUAAGUGGAGCAUGGUUGAACAAGAGACACUGGUGAUGUCCUGGGUUAUACGAUGCAUAAACGUCCUCCGUUUGCCUGAUCACAAACCAAACCCCAAUGAAGCCAUAAACUGAUGUCACGCAACAUGUUGUUGUCGAAUGUCGUCAUUGUCAGUUGAUGGAGUUUUAUUUCGACCUCGGGACUUUUUUUGGGGAACUUCACGGGGAAUGGUUCUUGUUUCUCAGAGCGGCUAUCCCUGUGAGAAGGCGUUAAAGAAAUGUGAGGUUAGAAGUGGCGAGAGUGUUUGAUAUCAAUGUAGCUCUCUUCUGUACAUGGAUAGCCUACAGACAGUCAAUGCCCUGAAACCGCCACUUCUCCAGAUGACAAAAACUUAAAUAAAAAAACGCAAUUCAAAAAAGUAAAUUGUCUGUAUACAUGGUCUGCCUCAUGCUGUUGUAAUGUUGCAGCCUUUAGAAUAUUGGUCUCAAGCAAACAGCACUAGCCAAUCAGAGAAGCAGACUUUGAAAUUAGCAUUGAAGUCUUAUGCAAACUCCUCUAAGCUGUGCGUCCGCAGUGUAGGGUUCCUCCUUGCGCGACGUGGCAGGGUAUAUGCACCCUGGCUGUGGCUAAGGGCUGACCAAGCUGCAUACUAUUCACUUGAGGACAGUCCAAGCAUGCAUUUGAAAAACCUGGGUGGGUUUGAAUUGUUUAAAUCCUAGACAAGACAGGUAUUUCUGUUGCGCUGACUCGCGAGGGGUUGGGGCUGUACGCACGUCUCCCUACCAGCAUAUGACGUCACAGAUGAGGAAAUCUGAGAACACUCACAGACCCUAGCAUUUAAUGGGCGUCGUGUUUUCCUUCAUAUGGAUGUGGCUUUAUAUCCUUCUUUGUGGUUUUAUGAACCUCGUGACGGAGAGGCCGUUCCCGGUGUCCGCUUACCAGGUGACGUUUCCCCCC
ensembl:lncRNA